GGCUGUUCUCAGGGCGGGGUGAAAGUCCCCACCGGCGGUAAGAGCUUUGGCUCGAGCCCGCGAGCGCCUGCCGGCUUGCCGGGAGGGUCAGCAGAUCCGGUGCAAUUCCGGAGCCGACGGUUAAAGUCCGGAUGAAAGAGAAUGAGC
rnacentral:ncRNA from 2 species